rnacentral:rRNA from 1 species
GAUGAACGCUGGCGGCGUGCCUAAUACAUGCAAGUCGAGCGAACGGACGAGAAGCUUGCUUCUCUGAUGUUAGCGGCGGACGGGUGAGUAACACGUGGAUAACCUACCUAUAAGACUGGGAUAACUUCGGGAAACCGGAGCUAAUACCGGAUAAUAUUUUGAACCGCAUGGUUCAAAAGUGAAAGACGGUCUUGCUGUCACUUAUAGAUGGAUCCGCGCUGCAUUAGCUAGUUGGUAAGGUAACGGCUUACCAAGGCAACGAUGCAUAGCCGACCUGAGAGUGUGAUCGUCCACACUGGAACUGAGACACGGUCCAGACUCCUACGGGAGGCAGCAGUAGGGAAUCUUCCGCAUGGGCGAAAGCCUGACGGAGCAACGCCGCGUGAGUGAUGAAGGUCUUCGGAUCGUAAAACUCUGUUACUAGGGAAGAACAUAUGUGUAAGUAACUGUGCACAUCUUGACGGUACCUAAUCAGAAAGCCACGGCUAACUACGUG